UCCCUGGUGGCCCAGACGGUAAAGCAUCUGCCUACAAUGCAGGAGACCCAGGUUCAAUCCCUGGGUCGGGAA
rnacentral:tRNA from 1 species